rnacentral:rRNA from 1 species
GGCUCCAGGAAGAUUUUCCUUUAUUUCUCCUGAUGUUGUCUAAUCUCAGAAGCUAAGCAGGGUCGGCCUGGUUAGUAUUUGGAUGGGAGUUAGAGGACAAAGUCUUUUGACCCA